AAGCGUAGCGAUACGUUGAGCUAACCAGUACUAAUGAUCCGUGAGGCUUAACCUUACAACACCCAAGGUGUU
rnacentral:rRNA from 1 species